UAAAAGGGUGCCCGCCGUACAUGUGGCGCGCGGUUCGCCGUGGGGGAUGGCUAUCAAGACAUACCCGGCACGUAAUAUUUGGACACCGAGGGAAGUUCGAUGCUUAGGCUCGGACGCCCUC